CAAGGUACUGGAUGAGAGGUUACAAAAUUGUAAGUAAACAGAAAGUGGGAUCUAUAUGUAAGACUCAGAUCGACGUCCGGUCUCUAAUCGACGUUCGUUCCCCAAAUCGACGUCCAAAUAUGUCGUCACAAUAAAACAACAUUCCAAAUCGACGGCCAAUGUUAUGACUAUCUAAUCGACGUCCUGUUUUUGGCUUCUCUAAUCGACGUCCAUUUUUUACCUUCUCUAAUCAACGUCCGUGAUAUCAAUUUUUAAAUUUCAGAGAUUUAAUCAUCAUGAAAAAUAAGAAGAUGUGGUAUGAUUUUCAAAAGGACAACUAUCCACAUAGUUCAAAUAAAGUAAUGUGAGCAUUUAUAGGCAACUGUACGGCUUCCGACAAUGAUAAAAAAACACACCACAGAGGAUAUGACAAGCUUUAAAAAGCCACGACAUGAAUAAUAUAAACAAUUCAAAUUAGAAAAUUAAGAGUCUUAUUUAUGAUAAAAAAAAGCAAUUCCGAAAAGCAAAUAGGACCGACAUAAACCAUCAACAACCACUGUAUUGCAUGCCCAUAAAGAAUAUGCAGGGGUUAAACAUGUGUGUGAGCACUUAAAUUAGAACAGUAAUGGAACAAAACACCAUAAAACCCUAAUGCUAAUUUCUUGCGUAUAUGUUUCACUUAAUGUCAGAAAUUUAUCGAAAAAUAUCUUACAGAGUCCAAAUUAUGCUGUUCUUCUUUAGUUUGUCUUUUGUUAAAGACUGAAUAAUGCUCCUAAAUGUCGUAUGGUUUUCUUUGUUGUUGGGUUGCUUUCUCAUUUACCUAAACUUACAUGCAUGUCGUUCAGUUAUAUGAAUAGGAAUGACACAAUAUUAUGUAGA
rnacentral:lncRNA from 1 species